CACAGUCGAGGACCCUUACGCGCUCCUUAUACCCACCCUGCCAUACGUUACCUCUAUAGCUGUCCCUCGGCGAGGCUCUGCGGCCGCCGGCCAGGAAGCUCAACGAAACUCCUUGCGAUAUAAGCAUCCUGAAAAUCUCUGAUACGAAUACCUAAAUUAGUCA
rnacentral:misc_RNA from 1 species